GACGAGGUGGCUGAGUGGUUAAGGCGAUGGACUGCUAAUCCAUUGUGCUCUGCACGCGUGGGUUCGAAUCCCACCUUCGUCG
rfam:Astyanax mexicanus Tnplaced_Scaffold_178, whole genome shotgun sequence.